rnacentral:misc_RNA from 1 species
AGGUAGCCUUGCCCUAUAAGAAGGACAUACAGAUCACUACCAAUAACAUUACAUUAUAAUCAAAUUAAUACUUGCUAAAAGGAGAGAAACCCAACUCACCAUAAGCAAUUCCAUCUCGUGGUUUGGCAUUUUUACUGAUAAUUUAUAACCAUAAUGGCUUCUUCUCUACCUUCUUGCACAAUACUGUUCAAGCCUGCAUCUCUCAAUUUGAUCAGUACUCGUCAAGCGCUGCAAGUUAGAGCCCGGAGCUUUAGAGAUGAAGGGAUUUCGGGUGACAUGGUUGAAGCGAAUUUGAGGGUUCUGAGAGAGAGGAUAGAGGAAGUUAAGAACAAGGAAAGACUUGAGAGGUGUUGCAGAUGUGAGUAUGGAUGGAAUUAUCCAUCUGGGUAUAAUUACAAGCUGAAGAAACAAGUGGGUUUAUCUCAGGUUUUUGAUCUUAUAGGAUUGGUUUGCAGAACUAUUGGUUUCACCUGUGUUAGUGGUUCUUUGAUUCUUGUUCUUGUUUCUCUCAUAGUUCAUUUGAAUCAAUGAUGAGGGUGAUUAUUUGUACAUUUUAUUCCUAUUGUAUAAAUCAUCAUCGACCGACACUUGAGCUACUGUAAUUUUCAAGAUUAUUUAGAAGUUCAUAAUUAAUUAUUUAGUUUAAUGGCAUCUGCCCCUUGCUCAAGAAAUAAGGUUCAGACGGCCGGGUUCUGACUUUUAAGUAUGGCUGAAGAAAAUGAGGAAAAAGAAAAAGCUUAUUUUGUUUUGCCAAAUGUAACUUUCGGGCAGAUCAUAGAGAAAGGCUGAGGCUGUGGAAAGCCAUAAAUAAAUAUAUAAUGGUUUGCCAAAUCUGUAAGGAAAGAAGUUGAAAAGCUUCACUCCAAA